UGAGGAAUAUUGGUCAAUGGGCGGGAGCCUGAACCAGCCAAGUCGCGUGAAGGAAGAAGGAUCUAUGGUUCGUAAACUUCUUUUGCAGGGGAAUAAAGUGCAGGACGUGUCCUGUUUUGUAUGUACCCUGAGAAUAAGGAUCGGCUAACUCCGUGCCAGCAGCCGCGGUAAUACGGAGGAUCCGAGCGUUAUCCGGAUUUAUUGGGUUUAAAGGGUGCGUAGGUGGUUUGAUAAGUCAGUGGUGAAAGCCUGCAGCUUAACUGCAGAAUUGCCAUUGAUACUGUUAGUCUUGAGUACAGUUGAGGUAGGCGGAAUGUGUCAUGUAGCGGUGAAAUGCUUAGAUAUGACACAGAACACCGAUUGCGAAGGCAGCUUGCUAAGCUGUAACUGACGCUGAGGCACGAAAGCGUGGGGAGCAAACA
rnacentral:rRNA from 1 species